UACUCCGGGGUCGGUGAAAGUCCGAACCGGCGGUGAUAGUCCGCGACCCACCCUCACAGAUUAGGGCGGUUGAGCCGGUGAAAUUCCGGCACCGACGGUUACAGUCCGGAUGGGAGGAG
rnacentral:ncRNA from 1 species